CCUACGGGUGGCAGCAGUGAGGAAUAUUGGUCAAUGGCCGGAAGGCUGAACCAGCCAAGUCGCGUGAGGGAAUAAGGCCCUAUGGGUCGUAAACCUCUUUUGUCAGGGAGCAAAGGCGUCCACGUGUGGACGAGAGGAGAGUACCUGAAGAAAAAGCAUCGGCUACCUCCGUGCCAGCAGCCGCGGUAAUACGGAGGGUGCAAGCGUUACUCGGAAUCACUGGGCUUAAAGAGCGCGUAGGCGGGAUAGCAAGUCAGAUGUGAAUUCCUAUGGCUUAACCCUAGAACUGCAUUUGAAACUGUUAUUCUAGAUUAUGGGCGAGUUAGGUGGAAUUCUUGGUGUAGGGGUCCAUUCCGUCGAGCUCACGAGGAAUCCUCAUUGCGAAGGCGACCUGCUAGACCAUACCUGACGCUGAUGCGC
rnacentral:rRNA from 1 species